rfam:Gossypium arboreum cultivar AKA8401 contig_99227_1, whole genome shotgun sequence.
GCCCCCAUGGUCUAGUGGUUCAUGACACCUCUCUUUCAAUGAGGCAGCAGGGAUUCGACUUCCCCUGGGGGUA